rnacentral:lncRNA from 1 species
GGGGGGGGGGAUCCUGGGUGACCCCGCCAACUUUUGGGGGGCUUCCUGAGUUCCUAGGGGGGCUUCCUAGCUUCUUGGAGGGGGGUUCCCCAAGAUCCUGGGUGACCCCACCAACGUUUGGGUGCGGAGACACCCCUUCCCUUUCCACGAACUGGCAGGCAGGCUGAGCACGUGUGCCCACCCCUUCACAUCAGCGGGACCCCC